CUUCCCUAGCACUUGCACAAUUCACACACACACUCAUCCUCUCCAACGAAAAACCCUAAUGGCUGCCGUCGUCGCUCUUGCUCCACUUUCACCGCCGCUCUUGCACCAUUCACCUCGCCGUCAUCGCUCGUGCUCGUGCUCCAUUGUUUCAUCUGUACCUUGCUAACUCUCCCUCUCUUUGUCUCAAAAAGGAUCUUCAUACACUACCACUCUUGCGCAGCGUGCGAUUUAAUUUAUGGAUCUUCAUACACUAUCAAUGGGAAGGCAUUGGAGGAAGAGGAUAACCUAACACCCUUGCGCAGCUUGCGAUUCAUACAAGGUUUGGGUUGGAACUUGCGGUUUCAUCUCCUCUAUAAGUCUCGACAUCUCAGGAUAGAGGGAGCAAUCUGCUUUGUGUUUCCCUUCUGUGGAUGUGAAGCUGCUUGAAUCAAGAGGUACAUCCCUAUCUGUCUGAGUUUGAAACUACUAAAUGAAGGGUUUGACACAUGUGCUUGUGGGUAAAAUCGUUGUUGGGACUUAACUUUAUGGGCUCUCACUAUUUUCAGCAACAAUCUUUACUGAACUGCUCCCAUAUGUUGCUUCAAAACCUUGCUUGCAUGAGUUAAAUAUGAGGAUUCAAGCCUUUAAAGUUUAUUUUAGCUUGAAAUCCUUGUUAUGUUUUAGUAGCCUUUCCUUGUUUUGUCAAUUUACUUACAUAUUGAUGAAUGCUUUGAUUUAAGCUUGACUAUGCUUUUAAAUUAGGGAUUCAUUUACUGAACUACUACUUAACUACUACUUAUUGUGUCUGUUAGAAACAUGGAUGUGCCUGAAAAUAGGAAAUCAAUGGAUAAUAGAUUGGAUUCCUUAUAGGAAUUCAUGUAUUAGCGAGGGAAUGGAAAUAAAAAUGUCAGGCAUUUAGCGACGGACACUUCCGUCGCAAACAGCGAUGGAUUGCUAUGUUCCGUCUUAAAUAGCGACGGCUAGUUAUGUCCCGUCGGAAAUAGCGACGGACUCUCCCGCCCGUCGGAAAUAGCGACGGAUUCAUGGGAUAAUCUUGUAGACGAUUUGGCGACGGAAAUAUAUAAGUUAGCGACGGGAAGUUUCCGUCACUAAUAGUGACGGAUUUAAUUUUCCGUCGUUAGAUUUUUAGCGACGCCACUUAGCACGGCGGAUGGCGUUCCGUCGGUAAAUGUUUUGCGACAGAUUUUUGCUUAUUUAGCGACGGAUUUUGUCCCUCGCUAAAUAGUUUUUUUUUUAGAUCUUUUCCAUAGUAUAAACUCAAAAAUAUUAUGAUUCCAAUCUCUAACUGGGAAGUAUUCUUUCUUAUUUUCUUUGAAAACUUCUUGCAUGCUUUCAAACCUCUUCAUGAACCAAUACAUUUUUUGUAGUUGUCGUUAGAAAUGGAGGGUCGGAUUUUCUUCUGACUCAACAUAUUUUAUGGCUUGAGCUCAAAAUACAUUAAAUUGAUUGGAGGUAUCCUUUUCAAAAUUGCGAAUGAUGUUUCGUGCAGCACUGCGUCAUACACUAAUUUUUAAAAUUCUUUGGUUCCUAAUCUUGGAAUUAUAACCACUUCUCAAUGAAAUUGCGGGAGGAAGUUACUAAGUGACUCAUCCUCUAGUAAGUUUCCUGUAAAGUGCUGCAUGUUUCUAAACUAUUGUUUCUACACAUAUAAUUCAAAAUGUUUCUACGUACGUAGAAUACUCAUGAAUAAACUAUCUAGAAAACUCUUCUUGAUUCUUGAUUCACAAUACUGGGAGAGAUUUGAACCAACUUAAGGCAUUUCUCUUCAAAGUUGACAAAAAUAUCUCUAUAGGCGUUUUUGCUAUUGGUAUCCAUGAUUUUCAUGCACGAAGUGAAGAUAUUCACAUGCUCUGUUGGAUCAACCUUCAUGGAAUUCUCUAUCAGGCAUGGUGAUAGAUUCGAACCUAGGAUCUCUUCAGCAAAAGGAGCAUGAAUAUAAUACUCAAGCCUUAGAGAACGUAUAGAACAAACUCUUUCCAUGAAAUCUUGUGUCCAGUUUUUGCCAUGAAAUCUUGUGUCCAGUUUUUGGUGUCUUAUGUCUCUGAUGGUGGUGCGCGGCCUUGGAAGGUACUUCCGGCAUGGCGGAACUAUGUUGGCAAAGGCACACCAACGCUCUAGUCAAUGAGAGAACAUAGAAGAACAAUAAAUUAGUAAAAUGAGUAAUGUUUGUGUAAAUGAACAACCCACAAUACUCCAUCUAUUCCAAAAUCAUUGUUGUUUAAGGUUGUCGUGCUCUUGGUUUCCCUAAGAUAGCUGCUUAGAGUUCAAAUUGUGUAGGCUUGCUCUUUGUUUUCCUCCCUGUGUCUUUGUUCUUUUGCUCUUUUGUUCUCAGUAUUUGUUUUCUCUUUGAUGGCUUACACAGGUUUGAAGUACACCUAGUACUUCCAUUAAUUCAAUUUUGCUUACUAAAAAAAAUUAUUGUUUAAGGUUAUGCACAUAGUUUAAGAGUUCAAUAAUUGAUGUUAUAAUUUGACUGAAACACAUUUAUUUAAUGUUGAGUUAUACUCCCUCCGUCCCCUAUUAUAAGUCACUCUUUUUGAGUGUUUUUUGUCUCAUAAUAUAAGUCACUUUACAUUAUCUAUGGAGCAUUAAUUAUAUUUUUCCAUGUUUACCCUCAUAUUUAAUACUCCACAUUCAAAGAAUUUUUAUGUUCCCAAAAUUUUGCUUGAUUUUCAAGACCUUUAUAGUUUAAAGGUAGUGAAAUGUUAAUAUGGAGAGAGAAUUUCAUAUGAGGGUGAUUUUGAAAAGUGUCUUUAAAAAACUACAAAUUUAUUGCUCUUAACAAUUUUUCUUAAUCCUAGAGAAUUGGGUAAAAGUGACUUAUUAUAGGGGACGGAGGGACUAUUAAAGAGCGAAAAUGAUAAUUAUUGGUCAACUAAUUGGUGAUAAUUGUGAUAUGAGAAAAUAUGAGGUAGUGAGGUAGUUUGCAGAUACAAUAUACUCCCUCCAGUCCUAUUUAUAAGCAUGAAAGAGAAGAAAAAUCUUGGUCAUUUUUAUAAGAACCAAAUGAAAGUUUGAGCUAUAUUAAUUAAUUUUUUCCAAUGAUGCCCUUAUUAAUUCUAACUUGUAAAAUGUGUCUCAUUAAUUAUUCUCUCUCUUUCCCACUUUCCAACACUAAUACAAAAGGUAAUUUUGGAAGUUUAUUUUAAUUUAAGACAAAUUUAAUGCAUUUUAUCUAGUUUAACUACAUUUCUUAAACUAUGUGAUUUUUUUUUUGUUGCUUAUAAAUAAGACUGGAGGGAGUAUUAAACGAGGGAAUGGAUGGAAGAAAAUGAGAUAAAAUGCUUUGGAUUUAUAAAACAACAAUAGUUUUGAAAAAAACACUAAAUCUAAAACAAUAGUAGUAGUUUUGAAAUGGAGGGAGUAUGUAUUUAUAAACAUGGUAAUGGAUAUAUUUGGGACUCUAGUCUCUCAAAAGUCUUGGUGAAAGAUUUCUAAGAUAUAUGAUGAUUAUCUCUGAAUAACCUUACGAUGUAUUUUAAUCAAGCCGUUCGCUUGGUUGGUCUCUAGACGAGAUGUUCCUCGUAUCAGUAGUUAUCACCGUCAACCACCCUAGUGCCCACUUAAUUAUGAGAUCAUUGAAUUUUUUUUUUUUGAAAGUGAGAUCAUUGAAUUGAUUGAGAUGUUAUUGGACAUUGUGGUUAUUUGGACCGACUGAAGCACCGACUCAAUCAUAAUGUGGAAGUUCCCAAUUCAAAUGAUAUCGAUUCCGAGAUCAAGAAGAAAAAGAAAAUAUAAAAGAGAUGCACUUCUUUAUUGGUGGUGAAUUGUUUCAAUUCAAUGUUUGCCAUUACUAAUGUGGAAGCAACAACCUAGGAUUGGGGUAAAGGAUAAAAUGAGUUAUGAUUAUGGCUUUACUCGAUAGGUAAAGUUAGAAGUGGAAGAAUUUCACCUUGUGACAAGUGGGGAAACUUAUAAUUCCUCUGACUUUAAUUUCCUUUAGAACAAUCAUCAAUAUUGUAUAACAUCUUUGUGCACAUAAGCAUGGCCUUUUUCUUCCCUCUUUUUGGUGCAUAAAGAAUUUCUCAAUUUCAUAAAAGAGAAAUCCCAAAAAGAAAAUGAUACGUCAUAUACGAUUCAAACAACUUUCAUAUGAAAGAAUCAAAG